rnacentral:rRNA from 1 species
GGGGAAUAUUGGGCAAUGGGCGCAAGCCUGACCCAGCAACGCCGCGUGAAGGAAGAAGGCUUUCGGGUUGUAAACUUCUUUUAUGAGGGACGAAACAAAUGACGGUACCUCAUGAAUAAGCCACGGCUAACUACGUGCCAGCAGCCGCGGUAAUACGUAGGUGGCAAGCGUUAUCCGGAUUUACUGGGUGUAAAGGGCGUGUAGGCGGGAGCGCAAGUCAGAUGUGAAAUUCCAGGGCUCAACCCUGGACCUGCAUUUGAAACUGUGUUUCUUGAGUGAUGGAGAGGCAGGCGGAAUUCCCUGUGUAGCGGUGAAAUGCGUAGAUAUAGGGAGGAACACCAGUGGCGAAGGCGGCCUGCUGGACAUUAACUGACGCUGAGGCGCGAAAGCGUGGGGAGCAAAC